rnacentral:rRNA from 1 species
GCUGGCGGCAUGUUCCACGCAUGCAAGAAGAACGGCAGCACGGGGGCAACCCUGGUGGCGAGUGGCGAACUUGUGCGUAAUACAUCGGAACGUGCCCUGUCGUGGGGGAUAACUAGUCGAAAGAUUAGCUAAUACCGCAUACGACCUGAGGGUGAAAGCGGGGGACCGGUAACGGCCUCGCGCGAUAGGAGCGGCCGAUGUCUGAUUAGCUAGUUGGUGGGGUAAAAGCCUACCAAGGCGACGAUCAGUAGCUGGUCUGAGAGGACGAUCAGCCACACUGGGACUGAGACACGGCCCAGACUCCUACGGGAGGCAGCAGUGGG